UUGCACAGCAAUGACUUAUGGUUCAAGAGCCAACAAACUGGUAGAGAGACAUCAAAGGUGGAGUACGCAUCCAUUCAGGAGAAGGUCUGACAGAGACCAUCGCUGGGGCUUACAUGGAGAGCUGAGACUGAAUAUGAGAUUAACCUCCUUAAUUAUGUACAUAUCGUUGGCUGUGGUAUUUCUUUUGUCUGUAUAUAUAGAAUUUUCUGAAGCUGCACCUCGCAUCAGUCUUUACGAUGCGUCGACUAUAUCCGGGAAGCCAGACACAGCCUCCGACACCUGGGAGAGCCUCCUUAUGCAUCCGCCUCGCCGUUUCCCUGACAAUAGCUUCCCCUUGACACAGUCCUCUGGUCUUGGCAAUGCUAACUAUAUUCCCCAAAAUAGCCUUAUAUCUGCAACAACUGAGCCGACCACUACCGAUUUCCACUCCGGGAUUAUUUUAAGAGCGAAAGAGGACAACACAGCCCUUCUAAUUUCCAGGCUAAGCGCCCUCCGCAAAAGAUCCACUGAUGCACACACAGCACUCUUUGCCCCCGAGAAAAUGCUGCAGACAAUGAUGUCCAUGGUUUCUCAACGAACGCACAACUAUGCGUGGUCGGCAGAUCGGAUUGACACUUCUGCCGCGUCAGUGGAGAAUCCUCAAGAUGACUUCUGUAACUGCAGCACUGGAGGAGAGGGGAUUUUGUAUCCGGAGGAGUGUAACCAGAGCACUGGUCACUGCUCUUGUUUGGAAGGCUACAGUGGCCUACAGUGUGACAACUGUGAGGAGGGGUACUUUACCAAUGGCACCAGCGGCUGCCUACCCUGCGCCUGUGACUCAUUUGGUGCAGUGAGCCACCUGUGUGACAGCUCAGGGAUGUGUGUGUGCAAGGCUGGAGUCUAUGGACCGAAAUGUGACGAGUGCCACCCAGGCUUUUUCCACUUCAGCAGCACUGGAUGCCAGCCCUGCCAGUGUCACAACCAAACUAACUACUGCCAUCCACAGUCAGGUGUAUGUCUGAACUGUGAAGGCAAUACCCAGGGGUCUAAUUGCGAGGAGUGCAAGCCAGAUCAUUACCGUGGCCAUAGUACUCCCUUGAAUGAAGCCUGUGUCCCAUGUCCCUGCUCCAACUCUUCCUCCACUGGCAACUGUCACACUGAUAUUGGUGUGUUUUCUUGUUCAGAUCCCAGUGGCUUCCCAGUGUGUGACCAGUGCCUUCACCACUACUCUGGGCCACUUUGUGAUCAUUGCAGCGCCGGCUUUUACAAAGCUUCCGGGGCAUGCGUGCCAUGUGACUGUAGUGGGAAUGCAGAUCUUCAGGGUCCUCGCCAGCUCUGUAACCCCGACACUGGCCACUGCUUCAGAUGCAUUAACAACACCACUGGACCCCAAUGCCAGCUCUGUGCUCCUGGGUUUGCGGGGGACGCCCGGGCUCAUAACUGCAGCCGUCUAAUGGCUCAGCACAUCCCCACACCAGCAGGCUGGACCACGACUGAAGCCUCCAGUGCCAGUAGAGCUUCCUCCUCCAGCAACAGUCUGAUCACCACCAAACCAAGAGGCACCCCCGUCUCUAUAGACAGCGGCAGCUGGAGCACGACACUGAGCACUUCCGCUACCACUCAGGCCCUGCUUACAAGCCUGAGCAGUCCCACUGACAACACUACAGCAGUUCUGACUGACAUCUCCUGGACGCAGUUCAACAUCAUCAUCCUGGCCGUUAUCAUCCUGGUGGUGGUUGUGCUCUUGGGCUUUGUUGGAGGUGUGUACACUUACAGAGAAUACCAGAACCGAAAGCUCAACGCGCCCUUCUGGACCAUCGAACUGAAAGAGGACAACAUCAGCUUCAGCAGCUAUCACGACAGCAUUCCCAACGCUGACGUGUCUGGCCUCCUGGAGGAUGAGGCCAAUGAGGUGGCACCCAACGGUCAGCUAGCGCUCACCACACAGGGCAACUGUUACAAGGCUUAACCCCAGGAUUGGCUUUCUGACAAUUACAGAUCACUUUAAAGCUGCUGCAAAGUACCAAACCCAAAGCCCCCUCAUGUAUGACUAACUGCUGUCUGUGGCAUUUCACAGCUUCUCAAAUUGACAGUGACAAGCCGCAACUGAGAGAAACAUUUCCCUUUUUUGAUAUGAUUUUUACGGGGAAUGAGUGACAAGUGUCCAAAGAAGUGUUUUAUUGAUGUAGAGUUAUAAGGACAGUGAUCUGAGUUAUUUGGCAAAUGGAGAUUACGUAUAUGUUGAAGUAAUGAUCUCAGCAACACUUAGAGGACUAAAAUGAGCCAAGCAUUUUCACAUAUUUGUAAAAAGGACUUUUGACUGUUUGAGUUGAACACUUUUGUCGUCUUAGACUGAGACAAUGAUUAUUUAAUUGUUUUUUUCUGUUAUAAAUUAUUUAUUGGUUCUUCAGAGAAACGCUGCACAUGGAUGAUGUACUUGUUUUUUCAUAGUGUUUUAUCUUGUGCACUGUUGAAUGAUAGUUUUAAUUGACCGGUUUGUGCAUAUGUUUUGUUUGUGUUUUCCAGAGAGGGGACAAUGAAGGCUGCUGGCAUAUGUAUCAGAUGUUUAUAGCUUCCAAUCUUUUUUUCUAAAAGCAUGCCAGUACUGCUGAUGUAUUCUAGAAAAGUGUUUCUUUCUUUCAGAUGUGUCAACAACUAUGUAUGAAAACACUUAUGACAACUACAGGCCAGUAACUUAUAAAAUGCUUGCAGAAACCACCGCCAUACACUUGCAAUCUAAUCUGCUCUUUUGCUGAGGUUGGCAGCAACUGGUUGAGAAAGUGAGCAGAUUCAUGUGGAGGUGGGGCUUGAUGAUAAACGUCAGCCAACAUCGGGAUUCAUCCGUGAAGAAGAAACCUCUGCAUUGUGUCGGGUGCCAUCAAAUGUGAGCAUUCGUCCACUCAAGGGAGUUACGACGAUCAGGUCGAGACCCCAUUGAGGACGACAAGCAUGCAACUGAGCUUCCCUGAGAUUAUUUCCGACUGUGCGGAAAACCGAUUGUUACAGCAGCUGGUUCUCGGAUGAUCUUGAAGGUGAACACGGAUGCAGAUAUCGUAGGUUGGUGUGAUUACACGUGGUCUGCAGCUCUGAGGCCAGUUGGAUGUACUGCCAAACUGUCUGAAACACCUUUGGGAGUGGCUUAAGUUAGAGAAAUAAACAUUAAAUCCACAGGCAACAGCUCUGGUGGACAUGCCUGCAGUCAGCAUGCCAAUUGCACGCGCCCUCAGAAUUUGCGACACACGUGGCAUUGUACAAUGAGAUAAAACUCCACAUUUCAGAGUGGCCACUUAGUGUGGCCAGCUAAGGCACACUUGUGAGUGGGGAUGGAUGAUCUCGACGAAGGAGAAAUGCUCACUAACACAGAUUUGUGAACAGAUUUUGAGGGAAAUGGCUUUUUGUGUAUGAAGAAAAAGUUAUAGUUCUUGGAGUCUAGUUCAUUACAAAGGUGAGCAAAAAUAAAAGUGUUGCGUUUAUACAGUAUUUUUUUCAGUGAAGUUAAAAUCCAUCCCAUUCGUCUACUCAUCCACACAGAUACGUACAGUAACAUCCAAAGAUACACACACACACAUCCUUUAACUAGCGACAGUCCUUUGGACAUCUCUUUCCUAUACCUACUCCUAAUGAUCCAUUGGGGUGGGGCCAUACAAAAUACUCGUACAAUGCAAUACAAUCUUUAUUGUCCACGCUAGUGAAAAUGUGUCUAUCCCUCCAGCACAAUAGCAGUUAAUAACAAGCUUUUGAUAACCCAAGAACAUGAGAACUAGUAAAGGUCACCUAUAUAAGAGCAUUUCUACAUAAUUAAAAUUCACCCAAGUAAAAGAAAUGAAAAGACAUUGUUUUUGUAUAAAAUGACACAAUUGAGAAGCUGGAAGUAACAUCAUUAAAGCACAGUUGGGAGAGUAAAUUUUUAUGACCAGCAGUUCAUUCAGAGAUAUUAGUGGCACAGGAAAUAAAUGAUUGUAUUUACUGUAUGAUUAACUCUACCUACUCUGACCUAGUUGCCAGAGUGACUACCAUAUCUUCACUUUCAAACACGUAUCUGUUACUUUGCUUUGCAAUUGACAAUCAUAAAGAGCAAACAAAGUGGUUCUUCAACCUGUAAUUUAGGUGACAUAAUCGGGCUGUUAAAGUAAAGCAUUUAAAUAGCAAGUUUAAAAUACUUCUAUAACCCAUGAUUCAGUAAACAAUAUCCAAAAUUUGAUGACUGACAAAAAGAUAAAAUAUUCUCAAAAAGAUUAAGUCUCAGUGAGAAUAACCUGUUAAACAUCCUAGAUUUCAACACUCCUAAUGUAGUGUCGUUCAAUUCAAUUGCCAUGAACAAAAAACAUCUGUACAAAUAGCAUUAGAUAAUGAAGUCUCUGCGUAUGUUUUGCUUUUUAUGUGGCUGUUUAUGGCAGAUUAAGCAGAGAAAAGAGGAUAUAUAUAGAAUGUAAAUUCCAGAAUGUAGGAAACCUUGCGCGCAAGACCAGUUUUGUUUAAAUGUUGUCACUUGUUGGUUUAGAUAGGUUUGUGAAACUUUUUUUUUUGGUAAAAUUUUUUAUCUCACUUUCGUGUCCAUGGCACAAAACAUACACAAUAUUGUGUCUCACAGAGCCACACUUUACUAUCAUUAGCAGAUCACUGAGACAGAAUUUCAGCCCCAAAGAACACCAAAU